UACGUAGGGUGCGAGCGUUGUCCGGAAUUAUUGGGCGUAAAGAGCUUGUAGGCGGUUUGUCGCGUCUGCCGUGAAAAUCCGGGGCUCAACCCCGGACUUGCGGUGGGUACGGGCAGACUAGAGUGUGGUAGGGGAGACUGGAAUUCCUGGUGUAGCGGUGAAAUGCGCAGAUAUCAGGAGGAACACCGGUGGCGAAAGCGGCGCGCUGGACCUCUACUGACGCUGAGGCGCGAAAGCCAGGGGAGCAAACGGG
rnacentral:rRNA from 1 species